GCCCAGUCGUAAACCUUUUAAUUACCCACACAACCGCCAGGGAACUACAAGCCCAAGCUUAAAACCCAAAGGACUUGACGGUGCCCCAACCCACCUAGAGGAGCCUGUCCUUUAAUCGAUGAUCCACGUUAAACCUCACCACUUCUGGCCCAUCCGCCUGUAUACCUCCGUCGUCAGCUUACCGCGUGAGCGAUUUAGUGAGCCUAAUGCCCAAACCCGCCAACACGUCAGGUCAAGGUGCAGCAAAUGAAGUGGGAAGUGAUGGGCUACAUUUUCUAUUAUAGAAUAUACGAAAGAUAAACAUGAAACUUUAUCAGAAGGUGGAUUUAGAAGUAAAAAGAAACAAGAAAGUUCUUUUUAAUACGGCACAGGGGCAUGU
rnacentral:rRNA from 1 species